UGUUCAAAACCAUAAUCUUUCCAAGAUUUUGGGUACCACGAGUAGUCAUCAGCGAUGGGGGUAGUCACUUCAUCAACAAGAUCUUUGCAGGUCUAUUGAAAAAGAAUGGCGUGAAAUACAAGGUAGCCACACCAUAUCACCCUCAAACAAUUGGUCAAGUGGAAGUGUCAAACAGAGAGAUCAAGAGCAUCCGGCAGAAAACAGUUAACACAAGUCGCAAGGAUUGGUCGCUCAAGCUAGACAACGCUCUCUGGGCUUACAGAACAGCCUACAAAACACCAGUCGGGACCACUCCCUACAACCUGGUGUACGGUAAAGCUUGUCACCUGCCGGUUGAGUUGGAGUACAAGGCAGCAUGGGCUUUGAAACUACUCAACUUCGACAUCAAACCAGCAGCAGAGAGACGAUCCAUGCAAAUCCACGAGCUGGAGGAAAUUAGGCAUCUCGCCUAUGAAAGCUCAAAAAUCUACAAGGAGCGAACUAAAGCCUAUCAUGACAAGAGAAUCAUCAGCCAAAACUUUCAGCCUAAGGAUCAGGUGCUCCUUUUUAACUCCAGGCUACGACUGUUCCAUGGAAAGCUGCGAUCAUGAUGGUCCGGACCAUUCACCAUUAAAGAGGUCCGCCCCUACGGUGCUGUUGUGUUGCUGGACACAAAAGGUGAGGAAUUUGUUGUCAAUGGUGAACGACUAAAGCCAUAUCUUGCUGAGACAACAAUCGCAGAGGGUGAAGAAAUUUCCCAAAGCGAUCCUUCUUUAGCCUAACAAGCUAACCAAGUCAAGCUAGUGACUUAAACUAAGCGCUUGGUGGGAGGCAACCCACUGGUGAGUGUAAAUAUUUCUUUUAGAUUUUUAUUUUGUGUUUCUUUUAAUUUAUUUGCAGGAUACAAAUCAGAAAACCCCGAGUUACUCAACCAGAACAGCCUCCAGCUGUUCUUGAUUCGGAGCAGCUGCUCCGCUAAGGUAAGUUUCUUGGGACCCAAAAAAAAAAAAAAUUAUAUUAGAUUUGAUAUAACUUUGUAAAAUUGAGGAAAACCCUAGCAAGUGGGAAGUGGGGCACGAAGUGGGUGCCUAUAAAGAGGGAACUUUCCCCAUCUCUCUCCCACUUCCACCAAAACCGCCUCCUCCAUCGCCUCUCUCCAUUCUCCUUUAAAAACCUAAAACUCUUUAAACUUCUUCAACUUGUUUUGAGUUUUUCGGUUUAUACCUGCUUGGAUUUCGAGUUGUUUGUGCAGAACUCUUCCAUCACCAAUCGAACGGUAAGAGGCGAAAUCACAAUGUGAUUCUCGGUCAAAAAUCUUCUUCUCUUCUUUCCUUUUUAAAUAGAUCGAUUUUAGGGUUUUUCUAAAUCAAAAUAGACCUCUCCUUUUGCUGCUAGGACUGUUAUUCGAAGUUGAGUUGAGAAUGGUUGAAUCGAUUAGGAUAGAUGGAAAGUUAUAACUUUUGCGCCAAUGUUCUUAAUUGAACAUGCAUCGAUUGUUUAGAUAUGGAUUUUGGGAUCUAUUGAAUCGAUCUGUUGAUUGGCGAGAUGAUUUAAGUACCCAGUCUUCUAAGUGAUUGUAUCUGGUUUACCAUUAUCGAUCGCUUGCUCUCUCUACAUUAGGUUAUGGAAAAGUUUGGAAAGAGCACAUACAAUCGUAAAAGCUUCCAACUUUUUCUACUAAACCCAAUCGAAUGGUACUAAGAACUUCCCUUUGGUUUUGUUUUGCAGAUGGCUCCCAGACGAACCAAGAUGGCUUCUAGGAUCAAACCACCACACGCCCAAGGAGAACCGGAGGAUGACACCAUCUCCCGAACUUACCCGUGGCCACGAGAGGAAGGGACCGAGAUCUCCCUCACAGACCCAUACAUCCCUGCCUCUUCGGAGGAAUGAUUGGAUAAGGAAGCCUCGCGUUGCUACAAAUCCUUGCUCAAGAUCAACAUCCUCCCAACACGAUUCGUUGACGCCGGGGCUUUGAACGACUUGUGCCUCCAUGAGGAUUUGCAUGCUGUUCUCCAGGUGCUGGGAAUAGCUGAUCUUUGCCACAUCACUCACCCGAUGUACCCAGAUUAGGUGAGGCAAGUCCUAGCCACCGCGGAGCUCACCUUCAAGAGGCCCAGCUUCCCAAUCUUUGAGGAAGCCUCCUUCACCUUCUACGCGAGCGGCGCCAAGCAUUCCAUAAGUUUGGAGAAGCUGACCGAGAUCUAUGAGAUAUCUGAGGAGUACACUAAGACCACCUUUCAAAGGAAGUUCCCCCCGGAGCAAGCAUUCUGGAAGUUCAUCGCUUCAGGGGACUUAAAAUCCCGAUCAGCCAGCCAGUCUCUCAUCCGCAACCCUAUUCUGCGGAUUGCUGCGAAGGUCCUGAGCAACCUGCUCUUCUCAAAGGACCAGACGUCAAAGGUGACACAAGGGGAACUGCAGAUGUUAUUUGCAGGAGUUGAGGACGAGAUCAAAUCCGCAAACAUUGGGAUUCUAACCUCGGAGAUGAAGACCAUUCCAGGAUGUGUGCUUGUUCAGAUGGUUGUGGACAAGAAGUCAAAGGUGAUUAAGGGUUCUCUGAAGAAGGACCGUUCUGGGAGUUUGCUCACACCUCUAUUCCGCCACUUGGAGCUUGAUCUCAGCCCCUACCAGUGUAACGAAACCACGCAGUUCAUUCAUGUUCCAUACCUGAUCAACUGCCAGAUUCUCCGCGACGAGACGACCUACAGUCUGAAAAGUCUGAAAAGGAGAAGGGUAAACGUAAUCUCUAUGUGGGAUUCAAGCCUUGAAUUACCGCAAGGAUCAUAUGGAGAUCUUAUCACCUAUCAAAGAUGGUAUUGUUUCUGAUUGGGAUUUGGAGACUGACGGAAGAAGAAGCGGAGUGGUGUUGGAGAUGGCUGAGGAAGAAGACGCGACGGCAAAAAGAAGCUGAGGUGAUACCUGAUUCUCAUUCGUAUUUUGGUGUCUUUCCGAUUGCUAUUGAUGUGUUUGCUUUGUUACAGAUCCUUGAAAUAGGAAAAAGAAGAAUGAUAGUUGCAGAUCCUAAAGGUAAGAAUCAGUUCUCAUCACUUGCUUACACUCUAUUCACUGUCUUUUACGGUUAACUACUAGAGUUGAACAUAAAGGUCUGAACUUUGGAUGGAGAUACUCUCAAAAUGGGGUGAAUCUGGGAGGAAUCUCCAUUGCUGCCUAUUUGUUUCUCUCCAUAUCUCUCGUGUCUUACUAACUGAGAGGUUUAUGGGUUGUUGUUACUGUUUUCUCCAAUUAUUUAAUACAAGUUAUAUUUUAUCACUAUUCACCUCUGGUUUCUCUUUAGAUUCAAGACUAGAUCUCUCCUGGGAGUGGCAGAAGAAUGAGAGUCACAGAUUCUCAUGAUUCUCUGCGAUGUGUAAUGAGUCUGACUUGAAACGUCUAUGUGCUGUGUAAUGAUCUGACUUCAAGAUAGUGAAGUGAUUCUCUAGUAAGACUUUUCUCGAGUGUUGGUACUAAAUGAAGCUGAGAAGCUCUCACGAGAAGCACACUUGCCAGUUCUUGACAGUUCCUCGGCAAGAUGGCGGAAUUUGCAGACAAAUGCACACACCAACGAAGCUUUAUGUAUUGCGGCAUGAUCUCAGCAGUGGUAGGAGGUAUAAUACCUAUAUCGCCUUAUACCACCGUAGACGACAAAGCUCUAACUGCAGAAAACCUUAUGCUCGGGAGAUUAUUAAGGUGCAUCCCCUACUCUCUCUGUGUAAGAUACAGGCUAAGGCCAAGAAGAAAAUAGGAGCAAGGUUUUGAUUUAGUUCUCAUGUUUUUAGUCCCUUUAUAUUUAGUUCUGAUUUUGUUAUGAUGUUUGUGUAAGAUUUGAUGAAAAUGUAGACAUGUUUGUGGUACUGAUGUAAGUACAUUUUGGUUUAUUAAUGAAAUAUAAAAUAAUUUUUUUUUUAAACAUAAUUAGCAACAAAACAUAUUUCUAUGAACAAGUUCUAAUAGCACAUAAUCGAUAAUACAUAUAGCAUUGAUACAUCAUUAUAACAAAACAUAUGAUUACAUUCAAAACAAAAGCUAUCAUAAGCAUUGGCUAACCAUAGCAAGCUAAAAACAACGCUAUUGUAUUUCUCCGAUAUUAUAGCAUUGUAAAAAAUGCUAUAAUAUAAGGGGGACCUAAGAUAGCUGGAGCAGACAUAGCAGUUUCAAUAAUGCUAACACAAGCAUAUAAUAGCUGUUUCCUUAUGCUAA